AAGAAAGGUUUACAGGCUAAUUUCGCCAAGUCCUGUGGCAACGCCUGCAUGACCUUCCUCCAGAAGG
rnacentral:sRNA from 1 species